rnacentral:snoRNA from 1 species
CAGCAUGUUUUGGCCGUAGGCUAUUGUCGGCCUCUCGAUUUUCAUAGAGAGGUUGAGAAAAAACAUGCGAGAUUAACACUUAAGGAGUUAACAGGGCCACCAGUUUCUCAAGGUCAGACUGAGUUGGUAGUAUAAUACUCCAACAACC